CCUCCCAUCUUUCUCCCAGCCAGAGCCAGAGCUAGAGCCUGAGCAGCAGUAGCAGGAGCAGCUGAUGAUGAGGAGAGAGGGGGAGGCUGGGGGACCUUUUAUUUAUAUUGUUAAAGGGACAGAGCGCUAAUUCCGCCCGGGAUUGGUGUGUGGGGGGGUCGGAGCGAGGAGCCUGAGUUUCUCCCCCCACCCCCAGCCCAGCCAGAGGAUCCCAGAGAGACCCUGGGAGAGGAGAGUUUCUUCCUCCCCUUUGGCCGUCAGAGGAGAGAGAAAGAGACCAAAAGCCUCUUAGCAGCGCAGCCCCUUCUUCUGUCUCUGCUGCUGCUGCUGCUCGGCCCUGGCUGGAGACCCCUCAGCACACGCACACGGAGGAGCAGCAGCCAGUUCACCAGCCCCCCCCUCCCCUCCUCCCCCUUUAUUACCCUUUGUGUGUGUCUCCUUCUGCACUGCUGCAGGCCGGGGAAUAAAAGUGGGGUGCAGCCAAGAUUCUCAUUGAGAAUGUUGAUUAUUGGAUGUAUAAGAGUUGGAGAGCAUAUUGUUUACAGUGAAGAUCUUUUAAAAUCUGCUUUUUAGACAGCAACGUUUUCUACAGCACCCAUCACUGCAAUAUGUGCAACUCAUCAAAAACAAUGUUAUAUUAGAAUAUGAAGGGUAGCCAUCGGAGGUUUUAUUAUGGUGUUUGGACUAAAGAAAGAAGAAAUUGUAAACAAAUAUGCAAGGUAAAAUAUAGUGGUCAGUUUUCUUACGGCUUAGGGUAUUUUUUGGAUUUUAGUUGUGUAAUUCAUUUUAAUUGUACCUCUAAAGCACGGCUUGUGAUCUACCUUUUAUUUACUCUAAUGCCUGUGGACUCUACUGAUCAAAAUAAGUGUCAUGUCCUCAGGAGAUUUUUCUGUCCAUUAUACUUGAUAUAUGGAAUAAGUACUGAAAACUUUAUAUUCUACU